CCUGUAAACGAUAAUGCCCAGGCAGGCACUGAAAGGAGUCACCAGAUACAGAGGUUCUGCAGAACUGUGGCCAUCUGCCCUACACCGGGACAUGACGGAGAAUGCCCUCCACCCAUUCACACAGCAGGGCUCUUCUCACAUGAUUCUGGCCUGAGGGAGAGGAAAGGACACCUGUCAGUGCUGGAGUUAGAGUUUCACUGCUUCUCAGCCAAUCGAUUUGACUUUAAAGCUGCUGAGAUGGCCCACUGCUUUUAGCACCUCUCCGAGCCAUGUGAGCCCCCUGAUGCCACCGAGCAGGGGCAGCUUCAUGACCGACGUCUGGCUGAGGCUGUGGCGGACACUCUCGGGGUUGUCUGCAGGAGAGCAAGCCAGGAGGACAUGGGCCUGGACGACACGGCCUCGCAGCAAAGUGUGUCAGACGAGCAGUGACGGGCGUGCGGCCGGGCGGGGAGGCGGCUCCCCCACACCUCCCACCUGCAUUGCUCUCCCUCGUGCUCCCCAAAUCACAACCAACCACUACCGCGAUCCAUGAGGGACUCCUCCUGUGGAAAAGGAGAGCUGUUCCAGAACACAGAACUGAUCUCAGGUUUUUGA
rnacentral:sRNA from 1 species